GAUGAACGCUGACAGAAUGCUUAACACAUGCAAGUCAACUUGAACUUCGGUUUGGGUGGCGGACGGGUGAGUAACGCGUAAAGAACUUGCCUCACAGCUAGGGACAACAUUUGGAAACGAAUGCUAAUACCUGAUAUUAUGAUUUUAGGGCAUCCUAGAAUUAUGAAAGCUAUAUGCGCUGUGAGAGAGCUUUGCGUCCCAUUAGCUAGUUGGAGAGGUAACGGCUCACCAAGGCGAUGAUAGGUAGCCGGCCUGAGAGGGUGAACGGCCACAAGGGGACUGAGACACGGCCCUUACUCCUACGGGAGGCAGCAGUGGGGAAUAUUGGACAAUGGACCAAGAGUCUGAUCCAGCAAUUCUGUGUGCACGAUGAAGUUUUUCGGAAUGUAAAGUGCUUUCAGUUGGGAAGAAAAAAAUGACGGUACCAACAGAAGAAGUGACGGCUAAAUACGUG
rnacentral:rRNA from 1 species